rnacentral:tRNA from 1 species
UGGGGAAUAUUUUAAUCGGUAGAAAAGCGGACUUUGACUCCGUUAGUAUUGGUUCGAGUCCAGUUUCCCCAGCCA